CACGUAGGGCGCGAGCGUUGUCCGGAAUUAUUGGGCGUAAAGAGCUCGUAGGCGGCUUGUCACGUCGGGUGUGAAAGCCCGGGGCUUAACCCCGGGUCUGCAUUCGAUACGGGCUAGCUAGAGUGUGGUAGGGGAGAUCGGAAUUCCUGGUGUAGCGGUGAAAUGCGCAGAUAUCAGGAGGAACACCGGUGGCGAAGGCGGAUCUCUGGGCCUUACCUGACGCUGAAGAGCGAAAGCGUGGGGAGCGAACAGG
rnacentral:rRNA from 1 species